AAGAAAUUCUACUCUAACAUAUUUAAAAAUUUGACUUUACAGAGAAGAUUAGCAUGCCCCUUGCUCAAGAAUGAUACACAAAUUCAUGAAGUGUUCCAUAUAAAA